GAUAAACGCUGGCGGCGUGCAUGAGACAUGCAAGUCGAACGAAGGAUCGGGCUUGCUCGAUCCUUAGUGGCGGACGGCUGAGUAACGCGUAGGUGACCUACCCCGAAGUGGGGAAUAACUGCCCGAAAGGGUGGCUAAUACCGCAUGUGGCCGCACGUUCAUUCGUGCGAGUAAAGCCGCAAGGCGCUUCGGGAGGGGCCUGCGUCCGAUUAGCUCGUUGGUGGGGUAAUGGCGUACCAAGGCGACGAUCGGUAGGUGGUCUGAGAGGACGAUCCCCCAGACUGGGACUGAGACACGGCCCAGACUCCUACGGGAGGCAGCAGUCGGGAAUUUUGCUCAAUGGGGGAAACCCUGAAGCAGCAACGCCGCGUGAGGGAUGAAGGCCUUCGGGUUGUAAACCUCUUUUGUCAGGGACGAUGAUGACGGUACCUGGCGAAUAAGCCACGGCUAACUACGUG
rnacentral:rRNA from 1 species